rnacentral:rRNA from 1 species
UUAGAUACCCUAUUAUAAUAAAUGUAAUUUUUAUACUAAAUAAUUAAUAGUUAUGUUCUUUAAAGUUAAAUAAUUUGGCGGUAUUUUAGUCUUUUCAGAGGAACCUGUUCUGUAAAUGAUAAUCCACGAUAAGUUUGUCUUAAAUUAGAAAUUUAUAUAUCAUCGUUAUUAAAUAUUUUUUUAGAAAUUAAUAUUUAUAAAAUAGAAUUUUAUUUUAGUUCAGAUCAUGGUAUAGUUUAUAUUUAAGUUGUAAUGGGUUACAAUAUUAUUAAAUUUGGAUUAUAAAAUUUAAAAUUUUAAUGAAAAUGGAUUUGAAAGUAAUUAUUUAGUA